CAGCCGCCGCGGUAAUACGUAGGUGGCAAGCGUUGUCCGGAAUUAUUGGGCGUAAAGGGCUCGCAGGCGGUUUCUUAAGUCUGAUGUGAAAGCCCCCGGCUCAACCGGGGAGGGUCAUUGGAAACUGGGAAGCUUGAGUGCAGAAGAGGAGAGUGGAAUUCCACGUGUAGCGGUGAAAUGCGUAGAGAUGUGGAGGAACACCAGUGGCGAAGGCGACUCUCUGGUCCAUAACUGACGCUGAGGUGCGAAAGCGUGGGGAGCAAACAGGAUUAGAUACCCCUGUAGUCCCUGUCUCUUAUAC
rnacentral:rRNA from 1 species